rnacentral:misc_RNA from 1 species
GAUGAAGAACGUAGCGAAAUGCGAUACGUAAUGUGAAUUGCAGAAUUCAGUGAAUCAUCGAAUCUUUGAACGCACAUUGCGCCCGCCAGCACUCUGGCGGGCAUGCCUGUUCGAGCGUCAUUUCAACCAUCAAGCCCCAGGCUUGCGUUGGAGCCCUGCGGCUGCCGCAGCCUCCUAAAAGCAGUGGCGGGCUCGCUAUCACACCGAGUGCCGUAGAUUACUCUUCGCUCAGGGCGUGCAGCGGGUUCCGGCCGUGAAACCCCCUACUUUUAAAGGUUGACCUCGGAUCAGGUAGGAAUACCCGCUGAACUUAAGCAUAUCAAUAAGCGGAGGA